GAUUGAACGCUGGCGGCAUGCCUUACACAUGCAAGUCGAACGGCAGCACGGGGGCAACCCUGGUGGCGAGUGGCGAACGGGUGAGUAAUACAUCGGAACGUGUCCUGUAGUGGGGGAUAGCCCGGCGAAAGCCGGAUUAAUACCGCAUACGAUCUGUGGAUGAAAGCGGGGGAUCCUUCGGGACCUCGCGCUACAGGGGCGGCCGAUGGCAGAUUAGCUAGUUGGUGGGGUAAAGGCCUACCAAGGCGACGAUCUGUAGCUGGUCUGAGAGGACGACCAGCCACACUGGGACUGAGACACGGCCCAGACUCCUACGGGAGGCAGCAGUGGGGAAUUUUGGACAAUGGGCGAAAGCCUGAUCCAGCAAUGCCGCGUGUGUGAAGAAGGCCUUCGGGUUGUAAAGCACUUUUGUCCGGAAAGAAAACCUCGUGGUUAAUACCCGUGGGGGAUGACGGUACCGGAAGAAUAAGCACCGGCUAACUAC
rnacentral:rRNA from 1 species